rnacentral:rRNA from 1 species
AUUGAACGCUGGCGGCAGGCCUAACACAUUCAAGUCGAACGAUUGGCGGACUGGUGAGUACUGUCUGGGAACCUGCCUGAUGGAGGGGGAUAACUACUGGAAACGGUAGCUAAUACCGCAUACCAUCGGAUGUGCCCAGAUGGGAUUAGCUAGUAGGUGGGGUAAAGGCUCACCUAGCCGACGAUCCCUAGCUGGUCUGAGAGGAUGACCAGCAACACCGGAACUGAGACAGAGUCCAGAAGCCAACGGGAGGCAGCAGGGGGGAAUAUUGCACAAUGGGCGCAAGCCUGAUGCAGCCAUGCCGCGUGUAUGAAGAAGGACUUCGGGUUGUAAAGUACUUUCAGCGGGGAGGCGUUACCCGCAGAAGAAGCACCGGCUGACUCCGUGGCAGGGGGCGCGGUAAAUC